rnacentral:rRNA from 1 species
UUCGUUAUUAUCGAGGGUGUGACGGAGAAGGAUAGUGUGUGCUAGCGAUUGGAAAUGCUAGUCUAAGCGUUUAGGGAGUUACGGUAGGCAAAUCCGCUGUAACAAUUCUGAGGCGUGAUGGGGAAGGCCCUUGAGGCUGAAGUACAUGAUUCCAUGCUUCCAAGAAAAGCAUCUAGAGAGAGAAGUAGUGCCCGUACCGCAAACCGACACAGGUAGAUGAGGAGAGAAUCCUAAGGCCGGCGGGAGAAUUGCAGUUAAGGAACUAGGCAAAUUGACCCCGUAAGUUCGCGAGAAGGGGUGCCUGCGAGAGCAGGCCGCAGAGAAUAGGCCCAAGCAACUGUUUAGCAAAAACACGUCUCUGCUAAAGCGUAAGCUGAUGUAUAGGGGCUGACGCCUGCCCGGUGCUGGAAGGUUAAGGGGAACACUUAGCGCAAGCGAAGGUGUGAACUUAAGCCCCAGUAAACGGCGGCCGUAACGAUAACGGUCCUAAGGUAGCGAAAUUCCUUGUCAGGUAAGUUCUGACCCGCACGAAUGGCGUAAUGACUUGGGCACUGUCUCAACUGCAAAUCCGGCGAAGUUGUAGUGCGAGUGAAGAUGCUCGCUACCCGCGAUUGGACGGAAAGACCCCGUAGAGCUUUACUGCAGCUUAGCAUUGAAUUCCGGUAUUGUCUGUACAGGAUAGGUGGGAGACUGGGAAACUAGGGCGUCAGCCUUAGUGGAGUCAACCUUGGGAUACCACCCUGACAGUACUGGGGUUCUAACAGGACGCCAUGAAACUGGUGACUGGACAUUGUUAGGUGGGCAGUUUGACUGGGGCGGUCGCCUCCUAAAAAGUAACGGAGGCGCCCAAAGGUUCCCUCAGAACGGUCGGAAAUCGUUCGUAGAGUGCAAAGGCAGAAGGGAGCCUGACUGCGAGACCUACAAGUCGAGCAGGGACGAAAGUCGGGCUUAGUGAUCCGGUGGUACCUCGUGGGAGGGCCAUCGCUCAACGGAUAAAAGCUACCUCGGGGAUAACAGGCUGAUCUCCCCCAAGAGUCCACAUCGACGGGGAGGUUUGGCACCUUGAUGUCGGCUCGUCGCAUCCUGGGGCUGUAGUAGGUCCCAAGGGUUGGGCUGUUCGCCCAUUAAAGCGGCACGCGAGCCGGGUUCAGAACGUCGUGAGACAGUUCGGUCCCUAUCCGUCGCGGGCGUAGGAAAUUUGAGAGGAGUUGUCCUUAGUACGAGAGGACCGGGAUGGACUGACCUCUGGUGCACCAGUUGUUCCGCCAGGAGCAUGGCUGGGUAGCUAAGUCGGGAAGGGAUAAACGCUGAAAGCAUCUAAGCGUGAAGCCUCCCACAAGAUGAGAUUUCCCAUAGCAUAAGCUAGUAAGACCCCUUGAAGAACACAAGGUUGAUAGGUCAGAGGUGUAAGUGUGGUAACAUAUUUAGCUGACUGAUACUAAUAGGUCGAGGGCUUGACC